rnacentral:siRNA from 1 species
AUGGCUAGAGUGACUAGACCC